AGCGAACGCUGGCGGCAGGCCUAACACAUGCAAGUCGAACGGACCCUUCGGGGUUAGUGGCGGACGGGUGAGUAACACGUGGGAACGUGCCUUUUGGUUCGGAACAACUCAGGGAAACUUGAGCUAAUACCGAAUGUGCCCUUCGGGGGAAAGAUUUAUCGCCAUUAGAGCGGCCCGCGUCUGAUUAGCUAGUUGGUGGGGUAAUGGCCUACCAAGGCUACGAGCAGUAGCUGGUCUGAGAGGGUGAUCAGCCACAUUGGGGCUGAGACACGGCCCAAACUCCUACGGGAGGCAGCAGUGGGGAAUCGUGCGCAAUGGGCGAAAGCCUGACGCAGCCAUGCCGCGUGAAUGAUGAAGGGCUUAGGAUUGUAAAAUUCUUUCACCGGGGACGAUAAUGACGGUACCCGGAGAAGAAGCCCCGGCUAACUUCGUGCCAGCCGCCGCCGUAA
rnacentral:rRNA from 1 species